rnacentral:tRNA from 1 species
GGAGAGGUGGCAGAGCGGCUGAAUGCGCCACAUUGCUAAUGUGGUGUCUCCUCACGGGGACCGCGGGUUCAAAUCCCGCCCUCUCCGCCA